rnacentral:rRNA from 1 species
AGUGGCGGACGGGUGAGUAACGCGUGAGAAUCUGCCUUGGGGUCGGGGACAACCACUGGAAACGGUGGCUAAUACCGGAUAAGCCGAUUGGUGAAAGAUUUAUUGCCCGAAGAGGAGCUCGCGUCUGAUUAGCUAGUUGGUGAGGUAAGAGCUCACCAAGGCAGCGAUCAGUAGCUGGUCUGAGAGGACGAUCAGCCACACUGGGACUGAGACACGGCCCAGACUCCUACGGGAGGCAGCAGUGGGGAAUUUUCCGCAAUGGGCGAAAGCCUGACGGAGCAAGACCGCGUGAGGGAGGAAGGCUCUUGGGUUGUAAACCUCUUUUCUCAGGGAAGAAGCUCUGACGGUACCUGAGGAAUCAGCCUCGGCUAACUCCGUGCCAGCAGCCGCGGUAAUACGGAGGAGGCAAGCGUUAUCCGGAAUUAUUGGGCGUAAAGCGUCCGCAGGUGGCGAUCAAGUCUGCUGUCAAAGCACGGGGCUUAACUCCGUAAAGGCAGUGGAAACUGAAUAGCUAGAGUGCCGUAGGGGUAGAGGGAAUUCCCGGUGUAGCGGUGAAAUGCGUAGAGAUCGGGAAGAACAUCGGUGGCGAAAGCGCUCUACUGGACGGCAACUGACACUCAGGGACGAAAGCUAGGGGAGCGAAUGGGAUUAGAUACCCC